CUCUUUUUCCAGCUGCCGGUGCUUGUUGUGCCACACCAGAUAGUGGACAGGAUAGCGACUCUUCUCUGGAGUUUUCUUAGCAGAAAUCAUCCUCGUUCAUAGUUUGCCUCCUCCUCCGUCUUCGCUGUGGAUGCAGCACAUCUCUCCUCCUCUCCCCCGGCUCCUCUCCUCCCAUCCGCCCGCUGACUGAGCCGCAGAGACGAGCUGCAAGCAAAUGUGCUCACACUUAGCCAAUCCGCUCGGAGGGAUGCUGUGAUUGAACUUGUGCCUCAAAAUAGGCUGCGCAAAUCACGAGCAAACACUCACAACCGUGCCAAGGGAGGCAGACGGCAGACGAAAAAAUGUGUAUGCCGUUCCCUUGGAGUCAACAGCAGUGAACCGGCCUCGGAAUGCCACAGUGCUUGUAGGAUCAAGACCACCUUGACCCGAGCCUCAUACGCCCAGACUGCGGCGUCCCUGUUUGAGAUUCAUAGUCAUGUACAGUGGGCAUGGUCGCCAGCACCGAUAAGCACUACCAACUUCUGCACAUCAUACCGGAAGCUUCAUCAUCUUCGAUUACAAUGGAAAUGCUUCAGAAGAAGAAGCCCUGCGACUGACAUUAGAGCGCGCGAGGGCGCCGCCCUACUGCCCAGAUGAGUCAUCUUGCAUAAAUUAAACAAUGAAAAUGGCAUAUUAACUCAUUCACUGCCAGCCUUCCCAGUUAACAUGGAUAUUUGACUUCUAAAGCCGUCAAUGGCAGUGAAUGUGUUCAAAUAAGUGCGUUUUAAGGUAUAUGUAUUUUUAGAUGAGAAGGCUAAAUGGUUUUAUGAGUACCAUUUUUCGUUUAACUGGGUUAUCUCAUUUUAAGACACAACUGACCGGUUUGGGCGCAAGACUCUUUUCGUUUAAGUUUGACUUGCACAGUCAGUCCUCGUGCAAUACAAAAGAUAUUGCCGAGGUAAGGCGUUGAAUUCCACCGCCCGUGUAGGAAUUCACCCUAUAUUCAUAUCCACAGCAGUUACAGGACACUUCUGUCAGUCUUUGUGCAUGUAAAACGGUAUCAAUUCACUUGCAUGUAUCCAUAGACACACACCCCUAGGACACUUUCACUGGGUAUGGGGUCACGCACUUACUGCGACAAAUAACUCAUGAAUAUGCAAAUCGCUUGUGUAUCCCCUCACUUAUACUCUCCUCCUGUAGACUUUUAUAAUUCACAUAAUUAAUGCCACCAAACUGUACAGUCGGGUUCACGACCCUUGUCCUGCAUGCUUCUUCUCCUGUCCUUGUCCUGUUCUAGCUUGUUCUGUCCUUCCCUCACAGGGUCUAGCACUACAGCCCCAUGCAACACUCCUAUUUAAUGUUUCAUUGUUGUAGAUAAUGUAAUGAUUUACUUCUCUCAUCCUGUUUACAAUUAGUGCUUUGUCUUUUGUCUUUGUUUCUCUCUCCCUUCUAGAAGCUUUGUUCUGUUCGACUGAUCAAGUCUGAUUCUCAAUAAACCUCAAUUAUAAUACCACAGCGGAAGCUUAAAAACUCCACUGUGACACAGUAAAACUGUUUCGGCAUAAAAGGGAUACCGAUUUUCCAUUCUGCUUGACCUAACAGGACAAAAAAAAAAGGAAUUCACCUUAUAACCAUGGAGUACACACAUCACAUCUAGUUAUUCCUGAUUGUCUUUCUCUGUAAGUCUAAAAAAAAAGUCGAAAUGUAACCCAUAAAAGGAACUGUGAGCUAUGGGGGAUAGGGGAUCAUCACCAACCUUUUUGGACACUUCGUAACUUCUUUGUUUGUUUGCCAUCACUAUGCAAUUAUUGACUUUCUGUCCAUGAUCUUGCCUUUAAUCUUUGUACUGCAAAAAAAUUAAAAAAUCAAUAUUUUGC